UAACCUGCCCAAGAGAUCGGGAUAACACCUGGAAACAGAUGCUAAUACCGGAUAACAACAGAUGAUGCCUAUCAACUGUUUAAAAGAUGGUUCUGCUAUCACUCUUGGAUGGACCUGCGGUGCAUUAGCUAGUUGGUAGGGUAACGGCCUACCAAGGCGAUGAUGCAUAGCCGAGUUGAGAGACUGAUCGGCCACAUUGGGACUGAGACACGGCCCAACUCCUACGGGAGGCAGCAGCC
rnacentral:rRNA from 1 species